CGCCAAUGUUUUCACGCUUUUGCUGGCUGUAGUCGAUUCCAUCUCCUGAAUUAGCUGCAGAGAGAAAAGGCAAAAGGUCCAUAUAAAGCAGCACACAAGGUGAAAAAUGAUGGAGAAAACAAAACAAAUACUUCACGACAACUACCUGAGAUGCAGGGAGAAGUCUUCCAAAACAAAGCUGGAUCAGGGUCCUUAUCUGCCAUCCAACUCAAUGUUCCAUUGUAUAAAAUCAUAAUAAAUGAGCCAAUGGUA